rnacentral:rRNA from 1 species
GAUGAACGCUGGCGGCGUGCCUAAUACAUGCAAGUCGAGCGAACGGACGAGAAGCUUGCUUCUCUGAUGUUAGCGGCGGACGGGUGAGUAACACGUGGAUAACCUACCUAUAAGACUGGGAUAACUUCGGGAAACCGGAGCUAAUACCGGAUAAUAUUUUGAACCGCAUGGUUCAAAAGUGAAAGACGGUCUUGCUGUCACUUAUAGAUGGAUCCGCGCUGCAUUAGCUAGUUGGUAAGGUAACGGCUUACCAAGGCUACGAUGCAUAGCCGACCUGAGAGGGUGAUCGGCCACACUGGAACUGAGACACGGUCCAGACUCCUACGGGAGGCAGCAGUAGGGAAUCUUCCGCAAAGGGCGAAAGCCUGACGGAGCAACGCCGCGUGAGUGAUGAAGGUCUUCGGAUCGUAAAACUCUGUUAUUAGGGAAGAACAUAUGUGUAAGUAACUGUGCACAUCUUGACGGUACCUAAUCAGAAAGCCACGGCUAACUACGUG